GUUGAACCCAACAUUCCCGUGCCCUGUUGACGCACCCCUCUACGGAGCCAAGAUCUGUUGGCACAGCCCUCUGCGGAGCCAUGCUAAGAACACCAUGAACUACAAAUUGAGGGAUGCAGUGUGCUGUAUCACCAGGAGGUGGCAGUGUUGUACUUAAAGAAGCACCACACAGGCUUAGGACUGAGAUCUCUUACAACUGUGGGAAAUCCACGGCCUGUUGCAUCACUGCAGACCCAGCAAAGCCAUUUGUGAUCAUUUGGUGCCACCUGCCUGCUUUACAGUAAGAAUCCACAGAACUUGCAGAGCCGUUCUAACUAGGACCCAAACUGGAGAAAACAAAACCAUACUCACACCAUGGGAAACUACAAAAGCAUGCCGACUGUAUCUCUGCGCCCCCAAAGCUUCAACACAGACUCCCAGGUGUCUGUGCCCCGAGGCAAAUGCCCUAACGCAGGAGUCUGUGCCCCAAGAACUGGAUUCAGAGGCCCUAAACAAGUUAUCUGUGUCCCCAAAGCCUGGUGCAGCGGUCCUAUCCCAGGUGUUUGUGCCCCAAAAGCCUGCUGCAGAUGCCCAGGUGUCUGCACCCCAAAAGCCUGCUUCAGAGGCCCUAACCCUGGUGUCUGUACCCCCAAAGCCCGGGGCAGAUGCCCUAACCCUGGUAUCUGCACCCCCAAAGUCCGGGGCAGAGGUCCUAACCUUUGUGUCUGGUGCAGAGGCCCUAACCUUUGUGUCUGUGGCCCCAAAGUCGGGUACAGAGGCCCUAACCCAUGUGUCUGCACCCCAAAGCCCGGGGCAGAGGCCCUAACUGAGGUGUCUGCAACCCCAAAACCCGGGGCAGAGGCCCUAACUGAGGUGUCUGCACCCCCAAAGCCCAAGGCAGAGGCCCUAACUGAGGUGUCUGUACCCCCAAAACUGAGUGCAGAGGCCCCUACCCAGGUGUCUGCACCCCCAAAGCUGUGUGCAGAGGCCCCAACCCGGGUGUGUACACCUCCAAAGCUGUGUGUAGAGGCCCCAACCCGGGUGUGUACACCUCCAAAGCUGUGUGCAGAGGCCCCAACCCCGGUGUGUACACCUCCAAAGCUGUGUGCAGAGCCCCCAACCUGGGUGUGUACACCUCCAAAGCUGUGUGCAGAGGCCCCAACCCGGGUGUGUACACCCCCAAAGCUGUGUGCAGAGGCCCCAACCCGGGUGUGUACACCUCCAAAGCUGUGUGCAGAGGCCCCAACCCGGGUGUGUACACCUCCAAAGCUGUGUGCAGAGGCCCCAACCCGGGUGUGUACACCUCCAAAGCUGUGUGCAGAGGCCCCAACCCCGGUGUGUACACCUCCAAAGCUGUGUGCAGAGCCCCCAACCUGGGUGUGUACACCUCCAAAGCUGUGUGCAGAGGCCCCAACCCCGGUGUGUACACCUCCAAAGCUGUGUGCAGAGGCCCCAACCCGGGUGUGUACACCUCCAAAGCUGUGUGCAGAGGUCCCAACCCGGGUGUGUGCAUCCCCGAAGCCUGGGGAAGAAACCAUAAUCUAGAUGCUGGUACCUGGAGAGGGCCUUAGACUGCUGAGGGUAGAUAGAUGUUCAGGGUAGUGCAGGGUAGAGUGGAAUGAGGGCUGUACCACCCAUUAUUGGCACUACAACAACCUGUGCAUGAUGCUCCGUUAUGGCAACCUGGGGAGGUGUCUGGGACAAGUUACCAGCAAUGGGCAUAGAAACACUGUGUGGCAAAACACACUUAGCAGGUGAAAUAAAUUGCAUUUUAAAUAGCC